CCUACGGGGGGCAGCAGUGAGGAAUAUUGGUCAAUGGGCGGAAGCCUGAACCAGCCAAGUAGCGUGCGGGAUGAAGGCCCUACGGGUUGUAAACCGCUUUUGCACGGGGAUAACACCCUCCACGUGUGGAGGUCUGCAGGUACCGUGCGAAUAAGGGCCGGCUAAUUCCGUGCCAGCAGCCGCGGUAAUACGGAAGGCCCGAGCGUUAUCCGGAUUGAUUGGGCGUAAGGGGAGCGGAGGCGGGCGUGCAAGUCAGCUGUAAAAUCGCGCGGCUCACCCGCGCCCCGCAGUUGAAACUGGCCUCCUUGAGUUCACGACAGGCAGGCGGAAUUCGUCGUGUAGCGGUGAAAUGCUUAGCUAUCACGAGGAACCCCGAUUGCGAAGGCAGCCUGCCGGGGUGCGACUGACGCUGAGGCUCGAAGGUGCGGGUAUCAAACAGGAUUAGAUACCCUUGUAGUC
rnacentral:rRNA from 1 species